rnacentral:rRNA from 1 species
GACUACUGGGGUAUCUAAUCCUGUUUGCUCCCCACGCUUUCGUGCCUCAGCGUCAGGACAGGCCCAGCCGGACGGCUUCCCCAUCGGCAUUCCAGUAGAUAUCUACGCAUUUCACCGCUCCACCUACUGUUCUUCCGGCCCCUACCUGCCUCAAGACUCGCAGUUCGCCCUGCAAUUCCAUGGUUGAGCCAUGGGAUUUCACAAGACGCUUGCGAGCCCGCCUACGCACCCUUUAAGCCCAGUGAUUCCGACUAACGCUUGUGGCCUCUGUAUUACCGCGACUGCUGGCACAGAGUUAGUCGCCACUUCCUUUGGGAACAAUCAUUGGUUCCGUUCCCUGACAGUGGUUUACACGCCGAAGGCGCUUCAUCCCACACGCGGCAUUGCUCCGUCAGGCUUUCGCCCAUUGCGGAAGAUUCCUUACUGCAGCCCCCCGUAGG